GGGAGAAGGAGAAACGGGAAAGGGAGGAACGGGAGAGGGAGAAGCAGGAGAGACUGAGGGAGCUUCGGAGGAGCAUUGGUCGUCUCCUUGUCACGUUUGUUCCGGCACUUGACCUCGAACACGUCAACUACGACGGAUCGUACAUUGACGAAAUCCUUGGCCAGGUUCUCACCGAUGUGGAGUCCAUGGGGCCGGCGUAGGGGCCCCAAGGGGAACGGGAAAUGGAUGAUUUUUGUCCUUCAUUUAACUAACUCUGUGAGGAGAGGCAGACCCUGGGAAGUCCCAAAGUCUUCCUGCCUCUCCUUUUACCUCAAGUUUUUCUUUUGUCUUACUAAACAUAUUUUUUAUUGAUUUUUAUACAAUCAUGAAUGAACACAUGAAUGAGCUGAAAGUAUUUAUUUUUAUUGCUGUAAAUAAUUUUCUAAACUGUCUAUUGUUCAAUGACCAUGGUACCUAAUGCUGCAUUUAAUUGUAAGCUGAUUUGCACUGUCAGAUAAUUGCAUUCAUCCUCUUGUUGUCCCACAGAUUUGCUGUUCCAGUGUAGACAGGCUCUAGUAUCUUGUUAGUGACCCGGGAUUACGUUCUUCUGUUCGAUUUUAGGAACAGUGAAGGAAGGUGUAGGAAGGUAAUCAUGGCAAAUGUCCUGUGGCUUGGUUAAGGACACUUCUCUUCCCCCACCCUAACCUAGCCAUCAGUACAGUUUUUUUGGGGGGGUUCCCCUUUUGCGAUGCAACUGUUUUGAAUGUAUUACUUUGUAAAUGUUUUAUACUAGUUUCAAAAUAUAUUUAUUUUUUUCACUGUU